AUGAAGCACUUUCAAAGAAACAGAAAAAGGGAUUUACACCCUUUAAGGCAGAUUGGAAUGUGGAAAGAAGAGAAUCAGAAGAGAGUAAGACGGCAGAUAAGGAGUCAGAAUAAAAAAGAAGAGGUAGGGAAAGGAAAGAAAGAACAGAAAUUGAAGACGCAAAAUGUUAACCAACAAUUUCCUCUCUUGUCCGAGCUGAACCCUGGGAGAGUGCACCCUGAUCUGGACUCCGCUCCACCGCCACCGUACAACCCAGCUGUACCACAGCCCGUACUUCCAGCUCCGGUACCUGCAUCCCCAGCAGCGGCCACACCAACACAGGCAGAAGCAGGGGCCAGCGGUGGGGGACCGGCAGACAACACCAGAAGCAAGACGAAGAUGGAAAGCGGACACAAGGACGAAACAGUUUGGCAUGACACCGCCCCUGAACUGGUGUGCCCGAUGGUGGAGGUGGCGGGACCUGAAGGCCUAAUGUUGGUCCAUCGUCCCUGGACAGAGUCAGACCUAAUCGACGCCGUCGCUCACCUGCCCCGGCCAGAAAAGAACUCCACUCAGUGGGCAAAAGAAUUUGAACAUUUCUGCAGAGAUUAUAGGCCGACCAUGAGAGAAAUACAAAGGCUGCUGCAAAAGAACUUUGGGACUCAGUAUCACAAAAUAAGGGGCUAUUUCACUGAAACCAGACUGCCCCUGCGUUUAAAAGAUCCAGUAUGGGAUAAUAAUGCCAACCAAGACUAUCGAGACUCAAUUGCCGCACUCUGCACAGAGAUUCAGGCUGCCUUCCCAAUUCCACAAGACAUGACCGCUCUGGAGCUAAUGAAUCAGGGCUCAGACGAGGCUGUGGGCGCAUUCCUGGCGCGCCUCACUACUGCCUUUGAUAGCGGUAUGCAGCGCCCAAAUACAAUGGGAGGCUCCCCACUCACAGCUUAUGAAUCAAACUUAAAAUGCCUUUUCCUAAGCAGAAUGCACCCCUCACUGGCAGAAGCCUGCCGCCGCUCCUGUAUUACCUGGAAAACCUGUAGCUUGGCAGAGAUUUUACAACAUGCUGAGCAUGAAGAAGACACUCAAAAGCGUCAGGACGCACAAAGGAAGAAAAAGAAACAGGAGAGGCUGGACGAGGCCCAGCUGACCAUGUACAAUGCAAUGGCGAGCGGGGCACGAGGACGAGGGCGAGGACGGGGAAAAGGCAGAUUCCGAACGCCGUGCGGGCAGGGGACGUGGCCCCUGGGACCCAGAAGAAUGUUUCAACUGCAGAGGAAAAGGACAUUGGGCGAAUGA
rnacentral:lncRNA from 1 species